UACGUAGGGUGCGAGCGUUAAUCGGAAUUACUGGGCGUAAAGGGUGCGUAGGUGGCGCUGUAAGUCGGGUGUGAAAUUUCGGAGCUUAACUCCGAAACUGCAUUCGAUACUGCGGUGCUUGAGGACUGGAGAGGAGACUGGAAUUCAUGGUGUAGCAGUGAAAUGCGUAGAGAUCAUGAGGAAGACCAGUGGCGAAGGCGGGUCUCUGGACAGUUCCUGACACUGAGGCACGAAGGCCAGGGGAGCAAACGGG
rnacentral:rRNA from 1 species